rnacentral:tRNA from 1 species
GGUGAUGAAGCUCAGGGGUAGAGCACUUGUCUAGCAGGUGUGAGGUCCUGGGUUCAAUCCCCAACAUCACAA